CAGCUGAGUGACACAAUGUGACAGAAGCUGGCUGCUGCCAAACACAUCGUGUCUAUUCAGCAUCCUCUGCCAGGACUUCAGCCCACCUGCCAGACACGUAACCAGGUGGGGAGGGGCCUUGGUGACUGCAGCCUCCCCUGACACUUCAUCAUCGAUUUUCCACAGCGAGAGAGAGAGAGAGAGAGAGAGAGAGAGAGAGAGAGAGAGAGAGAGAGAGAGAGAGGGGAAGUGAAAUGUGAUGCAGCAGAAACUACAACAAAUGGAAAAUACAACAAAUAAAGCGGAAACAAAUGGAUGAGUAAAGAUGAAACCCUUAUUGGACUUUUUUUAUGAUAUAGUUUUGAGUUCUUAUUAUUAUUAUUUUUAGUAACCUCCUUGUCCAACCUUCUCUAAUUAGAAUGUUCUGUUUUUUUGUUUUACAGGCGUUGUCAAGGCCCUGAUCUACAAACAAUACGUUUUUAAGAAUUGCACAAGUACCAUCAAAGAGAUUAUGAAGACUUUAGAGUCAGUUAGCCCAUCUUAUUUCUCUGGGAUCCACAUUAUGUGAAUCGUAAAAGCAUGGCCAACAAUUCUUCACUCAGUGACCCAUUCUUAGAUUACAAUAAUAAAAAAAAAAAAACGUCUUGAAAUAUUUGGACAUUGACACAAUUUUUAAAAUUCUGGAUCGGUACGCCACCACAAUGGAUUUAACAUUAAAAAAACAAAGAUGCAAUUGGAGUGCAUACUUUCAACUUUAAUUCAAGGGGUUGAAUAAAAAUAUUGUAUGAAACAUUUAGUAAUUGCAACCAUUUUCAUACACAGUCCCCUUAUUUCAGGGGCUCAAAUGUAAUUGGACAAAUUAACACAAUCAUAAA